rnacentral:rRNA from 1 species
AAUGCGAUAAGUAAUGUGAAUUGCAGAAUCCAGUGAAUCAUCGAAUCUUUGAACGCACCUUGCGCCCUUUGGUAUUCCGAGGGGCAUGCCUGUUUGAGAGUCAUUAAAUUCUCAACCUUACAAAUUUUUGUAUUUGUCAAGGCUUGGAUGUGA